rnacentral:rRNA from 1 species
GACGUACGGGGCCAGCGUUGUUCGGAAUUACUGGGUGUAAAGGGUUCGUAGGCGGUGUGGCAAGUCGGGAGUGAAAUCUCUGGGCUCAACCCAGAGACUGCUUCCGAAACUGCUGUGCUUGAGUGUGAGAGAGGCUCGUGGAAUUGCAGGUGUAGCGGUGAAAUGCGUAGAUAUCUGCAGGAACACCCGUGGCGAAAGCGGCGAGCUGGAUCACUACUGACGCUGAGGAACGAAAGCUAGGGGAGCAAACAGG